rnacentral:rRNA from 1 species
GACGAACGCUGGCGGCGUGCUUAACACAUGCAAGUGGAGCGACGAACCAGGCUUCGGCCUGGGGCAGAGCCGCGAACGGGUGAGUAACACGUGGGUAACCUGCCCUGAUGAUUGGGACAACCCGAGGAAACUCGGGCUAAUACCAAAUGUGCCCUCCGGCCGUAAGGCCUCUGGGGAAAGGAAGCUUCGGCCUCCGCAUCGGGAUGGGCCCGCGGCCCAUUAGCUUGUUGGUGAGGUAACGGCNCACCAAGGCUACGAUGGGUAGCUGGUCUGAGAGGACGAUCAGCCACACUGGGACUGAGACACGGCCCAGACUCCUACGGGAGGCAGCAGUGGGGAAUCUUGCGCAAUGCGCGAAAGCGUGACGCAGCAACGCCGCGUGGGGGAAGAAGGCCCUCGGGUUGUAAACCCCUUUCAGUUGGGACGAAGCUUCGCCGGUGAACAGCCGGCUGGAGUGACGGUACCUUCAGAAGAAGCCCCGGCUAACUACGUGCCAGCCGCCGCCGUAAU